rnacentral:misc_RNA from 1 species
UUUCCGUAGGUGAACCUGCGGAAGGAUCAUUAACGAGUUAGGGUCUUCCAGGCCCGACCUCCCAACCCUAUGUUUAUUGAACCUCUGUUGCUUCGGCGGGCCCGUCUCACGGCCGCCGGGGGAGUCGCCGCGAGGCACCCUCUGGCCAGCGUCCGCCGAUGGGCAACCUCAAACCUCUGAAUGAAUCGUGUCAUGAUGUCUAAGUCUAUGAUUAAAUUAAAGCAAAACUUUCAACAACGGAUCUCUUGGUUCUG